rnacentral:rRNA from 1 species
CCCUUAGAUGUUCUGGGCCGCACGCGCGCUACACUGACGAAUGCAACGAGCUUAUAACCUUGGCCGAAAGGUCUGGGUAAUCUCCAAAUUUCGUCGUGAUGGGGAUAGAUUAUUGCAAUUAUUAAUCUUCAACGAGGAAUUCCUAGUAAACGCAAGUCAUCAACUUGCAUUGAUUACGUCCCUGCCCUUUGUACACACCGCCCGUCGCACCUACCGAUUGAAUGGUCCGGUGAAGCCUCCGGAUUGGCGCGCACCUCGGUGCCGCCGAGAAGUUGGCUAAACCUUACCAUUUAGAGGAAGGUGAAGUCGUAACA